rnacentral:lncRNA from 1 species
CUUAAAGAAACUAUGGUUGAAUGGAGUUGUUGGGGUUUACAAUUUCAUCUUAUCCACCUUCAUAUAUCUACUCUUCUUAUUUAAUUUUCUUAUUUAUCAUAUUGUCAUGCAAACUUUCUUGGUCUACCCUUAACCCAAUCCCUUGGCGAAAAGAGCCUAUUACUAAUUACCGGCUUGCUAUCCUUAGCCUCCCCUAGCAAUUAAUAAUGCAUGAUAAACAGAAGCAAAAUACAAUCAAUCGUCCUACCCCUAUCCCUAGGUGGUAUUGAAUAAUCAAAACAUUCCCCCCAGUUCAUGACAUUACUGUACGUUCCCGUAUCAAUAAAGACAAACAACAGUUACCGAAUGAGUUAGAUGAUGAAAGCAUUUAAUACAGGUGAGGAACCCAACAAUUG